UGGGGAAUAUUGGACAAUGGGCGAAAGCCUGAUCCAGCCAUGCCGCGUGUGUGAAGAAGGCCUUAUGGUUGUAAAGCACUUUAAGUGGGGAGGAAAAGCUUAUGGAUAACACCCAUAGGUUCUGACGUUACCCACAGAAUAAGCACCGGCUAACUCUGUGCCAGCAGCCGCGGUAAUACAGAGGGUGCAAGCGUUAAUCGGAAUUACUGGGCGUAAAGCGAGCGUAGGUGGUUUAUUAAGUCAGAUGUGAAAUCCCUGGGCUUAACCUAGGAACUGCAUCUGAUACUGAUAAACUAGAGUAAGUGAGAGGAAAGUAGAAUUCCAGGUGUAGCGGUGAAAUGCGUAGAGAUCUGGAGGAAUACCGAUGGCGAAGGCAGCUUUCUGGCAUCAUACUGACACUGAGGUUCGAAAGCGUGGGUAGCAAACAGGAUUAGAUACCCUGGUAGUCCACGCCGUAAACGAUGUCUACCAGUCGUUGGGUCUUUUAAAGGCUUAGUGACGCAGUUAACGCGAUAAGUAGACCGCCUGGGGAGUACGGCCGCAAGGUUA
rnacentral:rRNA from 1 species